rnacentral:rRNA from 1 species
UUGAACGCUGGCGGCAGGCCUAACACAUGCAAGUCGAGCGGAUGAAGGGAGCUUGCUCCUGGAUUCAGCGGCGGACGGGUGAGUAAUGCCUAGGAAUCUGCCUGGUAGUGGGGGAUAACGUCCGGAAACGGGCGCUAAUACCGCAUACGUCCUGAGGGAGAAAGUGGGGGAUCUUCGGACCUCACGCUAUCAGAUGAGCCUAGGUCGGAUUAGCUAGUUGGUGGGGUAAAGGCCUACCAAGGCGACGAUCCGUAACUGGUCUGAGAGGAUGAUCAGUCACACUGGAACUGAGACACGGUCCAGACUCCUACGGGAGGCAGCAGUGGGGAAUAUUGGACAAUGGGCGAAAGCCUGAUCCAGCCAUGCCGCGUGUGUGAAGAAGGUCUUCGGAUUGUAAAGCACUUUAAGUUGGGAGGAAGGGCAGUAAGUUAAUACCUUGCUGUUUUGACGUUACCAACAGAAAAAGCACCGGCUAACUUCGUG